rnacentral:rRNA from 1 species
GAUGAACGCUAGCUACAGGCUUAACACAUGCAAGUCGCGGGGCAGCAUGGGGGUUGCUUGCAAUCCCCGAUGGCGACCGGCGCACGGGUGAGUAACGCGUAUCCAACCUGCCCUUCACCACGGGAUAACCCGGCGAAAGUCGGACUAAUACCGUAUGUUGUCCAUUGACGGCAUCCGAUUGGACGAAAGGUUUGGCGGUGAAGGAUGGGGAUGCGUCCGAUUAGCUGGACGGCGGGGUGACGGCCCACCGUGGCGACGAUCGGUAGGGGUUCUGAGAGGAAGGUCCCCCACACUGGAACUGAGACACGGUCCAGACUCCUACGGGAGGCAGCAGUGAGGAAUAUUGGUCAAUGGGCGUAAGCCUGAACCAGCCAAGUAGCGUGCAGGAUGACGGCCCUAUGGGUGGUAAACUGCUUUUAUGCGGGGAUAAAGUGGCCCACGUGUGGGUUUUUGCAGGUACCGCAUGAAUAAGGACCGGCUAAUUCCGUG